AUGCUACUCCCUCCGUCUGAAAAUAGUUGUCAUCAAAAUGAACAAAAAAGGAUGUAUCUAGAACUAAAAUACAUCUAGAUACAUCCCAUUUUAUUCAUUUUGAUGACAAGUAUUUUCGGACGGAGGGAAUAGGCG
rfam:Triticum aestivum genome assembly, contig: Triticum_aestivum_CS42_TGACv1_scaffold_321961_4BL